ACUAGACAGAAGCCUUCCAUGCUCACUGAACACUUUGGUCCUUGGAUCUCAGCUGCAUUAGCUCACCGGGAGGGACUGAAAACGCAGGUGCUGGGCUUGUGCUUCUGACUUGUUCCUGGGCAUUGCUGAUGCUGCCAGUCAGGAGCCACACUGUGCACCCUGCUCUGGAGCGGGGGUUUUAGCCAGUUUUGGAACCUAGACCCUUGGGGCAGUUAUGACUCCUCGCUAAAAGAAAAGGCAUGUGAAUUUUACAUAGUUUCAUUCCAUUCACAAAUUAAAGUCCACAUAAGAUUAAGAACUCUGCUCCACAGAUACUUUUCUAGUCUUGUGAAGUUUGCAUUAAUCAAACUUGGAUAACCUUAGCAAUUUCAAGACUUACUACACUUCCACCAAAACUGUUUCCACCAAAAUUGUCGUCAUCUGAUUUUGAGCAGUUCAUUGCUAUUUUGAGCUCUUUGCCUCCUUUUUCUCCCUAUAGGGUCUGCCCAGCAUGGAAUAGAGAAUCAGCCCUAAGCCAAGGACUCACACACUGACACAUAUCACAUGUUUUAAUCUAUACAGUAUAGUUAGUGCUUUACAAAACAGGACAACACUCUUCAGAUCACAUACAUCUGUUUAAAACUCAUUCUUCUCUGGUUUCCUUUUGGUAUUAUAAUGUGAUGUCAUUAAGCCUUUUGUAGUUAUGUCUCAAUUUCAUAUUUUCUGUAAUUAAACCGAAAUGUCUUCAUUAAAGUACUCGGGUUCUCAACUAGGAAUAAUUGUCCAAUUUCUAUUCUGGGAAUCAUAAAAUUUAGGCUUGGAAGACCUAAAAUAUCCUAUAGGUCAGACUGAGCCCAUGCCCUGAGUACAGGGUUCCCCAGCACAGCCUCCUGCCUGUGCUCCUUCCGCAGCUCUUCCCUCAGGGGCUUCGGCACCUGCUGGCAGCUUGAUUGUGUGGCAUCACUCUUCAAUUCCACGUCCACUUAUUUUUCCACUCUCUGUCCACCCUCUUUGCUUUGUAGUCACACAAAGCCAGCCUCAUGUCUUAUCUAUGAUGGACUUUCGAACAUUUGAUACCAGGCCCAUGCCACUUUGUUCGGGGAUUCUCCUCAGGCUCAGUUCCUUCUGUGCUUCUGUAACUUGCUCCAGGACCCCUCCCACAGGCUUACUGGCCACUUACAUUAUUCUUCUGUUUGUUGAGAAUGAGGGUCACAGCAUUGGCUACAUUUCCCACAAAAUCCUGUGGAAUCACAGCCUCUGCCUCCAUUAGAGUCGUUGGCAAAUGGAAGUAUCGUACAAGCCCGCGUCCUGGUGGGAGGUGCAGCAUCUCUGGGCGGACUGUGCUGUCGCUGUGCGUCCGCUCACUCAGGAGCACUGACGGUCAAUCAGAGCAGAGCCUCCUGCUCAAACAGAUAACUGGCUUUGCUAGUGCAGAAUUGCAGGAGCAUAUCUUAAGCUUUCUAAUUGUUUUCUCUGGGUCAAAGGCCCUAGAAAUGGUAUUUAAAACUUGGUAGCAAAGGGAGGACAGUUGUCUGAGGAAAGCUGUGAGGGGUGUCCUCCCUGGGAAUCUACAGCAGUCUUUGGGGUUAGUCAGGGAGGUUAAUGUUUCUAGAGGUCAGAAUUGCCUGGAGUAGCAUUACUUCACAGGUGUUUGUGGAGUGGGCUAGAAUCAGCUUUCUAAUACUGACACUGCCCCAGGGAUGCAUUCAUUGUCAGAACUGCUGUCCACUGUU